GGAGGCUGCACUCACCUGAACAUGCAUAAAUGGGGUGCUGCUGGGGGACAAAUUAUACAUUUGCAUACGCUUACCCAGAAUCCCUUGCAGUAGUGAGAGCACUGUUAAAGUGAGAUUUCUGUGGGAAAAGCAAGUCUUAUGGCGUGACUGGUGUGUGUAUUUGUGUUUAGCAAUGUAUUAACUUUCCACAAUGUAAUGUAACUAAACACC